rnacentral:tRNA from 1 species
GGAGAGAUGGCUCAGUGGUUAAGAGCAUUUGUCUUGCAAAAGACCUGGGUUUGCUUCCUAGCUCCC